rnacentral:lncRNA from 1 species
UACCUAUAAGGCAAAGUGGAAAACGGGGCCUUCAAACCUACCCACAAAUAGUUAUAUGAUGAGCCCCAAUCCGAAACAAGUGGUCCAAUAUAUAAGGGGGGGACCUAAUGCAGGGGAGCAUAGUGCCAUAACUACUAUAUACUUGUACCAAAUGGUUAAAAAAAAAGAUAAUAAUGUGUAUGAAAGUAUGCAAUAUGCUUAUAUGCAUUCAAACGAAUCAAACCAUAAAACUCACUGCUGGAAGGUCUGGGAGGAUACAGAGCCCUGAAAGCAAUGAAAUCGAUCAGCGGUCCACAAGCCGGAUCCUCCUCUCUCCUGGGUUAUGUAUGACGAUCUCGAUCACAUCAAAGACAUGUGGUUUACAGAUAUGUGAACCAAAAACCCUAAACAGAGCGAUUGCAUAUGUGAACCAGAAUAGAGAAUGAGAGUU